UACGAAGGGGGCUAGCGUUGCUCGGAAUCACUGGGCGUAAAGGGUGCGUAGGCGGGUCUUUAAGUCAGGGGUGAAAUCCCGAGGCUCAACCUCGGAACUGCCUUUGAUACUGGGGAUCUCGAGUCCGGGAGAGGUGAGUGGAACUGCGAGUGUAGAGGUGAAAUUCGUAGAUAUUCGCAAGAACACCAGUGGCGAAGGCGGCUCACUGGCCCGGUACUGACGCUGAGGUGCGAAAGCGUGGGGAGCAAACAGG
rnacentral:rRNA from 1 species